ACGUCACCACCUUCGCGUCUUUUCUGGAGAGCGCGGGAAGACACCGAGAUGAACCCAGCAGGCAAGCUGGCAGGAAGUCAGACUGCGGCCCUUGCCUGAGAGGAUGACACAGGCCAAAGGAGAGAAGGAAAACAACAAGGCAGCCAGAGCUAGGGUCUGUGCUCAGCUCUGGAAGAUGCAGCCAUGGGUGAAUCAACUCUCCUUGCUUCAAGUUUAUGCUUCAUUAGGAGAGAUAAGAAAGCCAAGGUAUGUGGGUCUCAGAGAGGUGCACAUCAAGGGCUGUGCUUCAGCUAUUUGGGAGAAAAAAAGUCUUCAUGGAAUAAUAAAAAUUUGGAUUGGGCUUUGAUUUGGAUCAGGAGAAUAGGAGUUAGGGGAACAUAUUAAGUGGAGCAAAUAGUAUGAACAGAGGAGAAAAGAGUGGUUCAGUUUGGCAGAAGCUCAGGGCUUGUGUUGAAGAAAAGUAGAAUAUGUUGGAAAGGAC
rnacentral:lncRNA from 9 species